AUGGGAGUUUGGCAGUGGAGGACAGUGGUGCGCGGAAAGCCACAGCCAGUAGGGAACCCAGGCCGUUCAUACGAACUGGAGCACACCCCUCCAUAUGGCAGGCCGAGUAUACGAAAGGAACAUGAGCCACUUCUUCUGAUAAUUCAUUUCUGGCGGUGCGCGUGUGGGAGAUGCGGUGCUAAGAGAGCGGACGUCGUCUUCCGACGGCGUCUAUAUACGCCGAGACCUCUCCCUGCUUGCCUGCCGUGGGUGUGCUCCUUGGAGAAUCCAUUUGCGUUUCUCCCCUUGGCGACGAGAUGUGAUCCAUCGUCGUCUUCUCGCCGUCUCUUCGUGCGGCGUGGCCUCGCUUCCGAAACAAUCCUACUGCCAGUCCUGCAAUUUCUUGGUUGGUUAGGCCGUGUGGAUAAGGAGGAGGAGGGAGGAGGAGGAAAGCGAGAGGCGCAUGGCUGGGCUAGCUUUUAG
rnacentral:rRNA from 1 species